GAUGAACGCUAGCGACAGGCUUAACACACGCAAGUCGAGGGGCAGCACGGGAGUAGCAAUACAACUGGUGGCGACCGGCGCACGGGUGAGUAACGCGUAUGCAACCUACCUAUCAGAGGGGAAUAACCCGGCGAAAGUCGGACUAAUACCGCAUAAAACAGGGGCACCGCAUGGUGAUAUUUGUUAAAGAAAUUCGCUGAUAGAUGGGCAUGCGUUCCAUUAGGUAGUUGGUGAGGUAACGGCUAACCAAGCCGACGAUGGAUAGGGGAACUGAGAGGUUGGUCCCCCACACUGGUACUGAGACACGGACCAGACUCCUACGGGAGGCAGCAGUGAGGAAUAUUGGUCAAUGGGCGAGAGCCUGAACCAGCCAAGUCGCGUGAAGGAAGAAGGAUCUAUGGUUCGUAAACUUCUUUUGCAGGGGAAUAAAGUGCAGGACGUGUCCUGUUUUGUAUGUACCCUGAGAAUAAGGAUCGGCUAACUCCGUGCCAGCAGCCGCCGUAA
rnacentral:rRNA from 1 species